rnacentral:lncRNA from 1 species
AGGGCUGUUCGACAUCUUUUUUAACAUUUGUUGCCAUCGUGGCAACGCAGCAACUCAUGUAUUUUUUGUCUGCUACGAGUGACUUGUUUAUUCUGUGAAAUAUGAAAGUUCGUGUGUUCGGAUCACUUUGUUACAGGAAAGCCGAGUGGAGAAUUCCACAAAAAACAUGUUGAUUGGGCACCCUCUAUAAAUGUGGGAUCAAAUAAGACGAAACAAUUUCUAGAUGGUGAUCAUCAAGUACGUAACAAUGUUGCUUUUGACAAGGCUGAUACACCUCCAUUGAUAGAUGUUGAAACUGCAACUGAAGUUGAGGAUUCUGGUUUUUUGAACAAUUUGAUACAAGGUGAUUUAGUUAUGGCUGAUAGGGGAUUUACAGUUCAUGAGGCUGUUACUUUACGGAAUGCAAAUCUUGCUGUGCCUUCGUUCCUUGGAAAGCAAACACAGUUGUCAAAUGUUGAAGUUGAGUACUUUAGAGGCCUAGCAAGGAUUCAUAUACAUGUUGAGAGAGUUAUAGGGGCCACAAAACAAAUAUCACUAUUUUAGAAGGUCCUCUUCAUCGUGCAACACUUUCUGUUUCAAAGGGUGAAGAUUCAGCAAUAAUUGAUAAAAUUGUUAUGGUCUGUUGCGCUCUUUACAAUUCGUGUUCAUCUGUUGUACCCUUACUGUAGUGUGUUUAGGUGAAUAAUUGUCAUAAUAAACCACAAAUUUUCAAAAAAUA